CAGCCAGCAGGCUGCCAGAGAUCCAACCGCGCCUUGCAGCGCACAGAGGGACGCAACAGGGACGGACGGUCCUUCCUGCCAUACAGAAGGAUGGAUCCUGCGCGUCCAUGGAGUGGUGCUGGGCAAGGGGGGAAACGGAAAGCCUCCGCAGAGAGAGGUGCCGAGCCCAACGGAAAGAUCUACGCAAAAGCGGUGCAGGAAGUCCUUCUGGAGAGAGCUCAUCUCCAGGCUGGAGGGCUUCCUACAACAGCAGGUCCCAACACAGGGGGAAGACCUUCCCCUGCUGUGUGCCCCCGCUCUGUCUCCAAGUCCUUGGCUGGAUGUAAACGCAAAGGCUUGGAAGAAGCGAAGCCAACAGCAGUGCAGCUGCCUGCUAACAAAAGAGUGAGGGGGCCGAGCGGAGACAGCGUGCCAGCUCCAGCAGCACACCCUGGGCCUGCUGCAGUGCGGAGCUCCAAGCUAAGAGGUGAGAAGGUGCUGUGGAACCCACCCUGGUGAGCUGCUGCCCUUUUCAAGCACACUGAGUUUGCUCAGGGUUCGCUUUGCUUUUUCCUUCUCUGUGGAGGGGACAAGAGUGGAAGGCUACAAAGUCCAAAGGCAGUGAGG
rnacentral:lncRNA from 1 species